ACCUUCGGGUAGAUAGUGGCGGACGGGUGAGUAACACGUAGCUGACCUGCCCCUCGGUGGGGAAUAACUCCUCGAAAGAGGUGCUAAUACCGCAUACGCUCAUCUUCGUUGGGAGAUGAGGAAACGCGAGAGUGACCGAGGGAGGGGACUGCGGCGGAUUAGCUAGUUGGUGGGGUAAUGGCCUACCAAGGCGACGAUCCGUAGCUGGUCUGAGAGGACGACCAGCCACACUGGGACUGAGACACGGCCCAGACUCCUACGGGAGGCAGCAGUGAGGAAUAUUCCACAAUGGGCGAAAGCCUGAUGGAGCGACGCCGCGUGCGGGAUGAAGCCCUUUGGGGUGUAAACCGCUUUUUUAGGGGAUGAUACGGCGGGGUAACCCGUCUAAGACAGUACCUUAAGAAUAAGCAUCGGCUAACUACGUGCCAGCAGCCGCGGUAAUACGUAGGAUGCAAGCGUUGUCCGGAUUUACUGGGCGUAAAGCGCGCGCAGGCGGCUCUUUAAGUAUGGCGUGAAAUCUCCCUGCUCAACGGGGAGGGUGCGUUGUAGACUGAGGAGCUUGAGGUCGGUAGAGGGGGGUGGAAUUGCUGGUGUAGCGGUG
rnacentral:rRNA from 1 species